CUGAUUGGCUGUUUCAUUCACAGGAGACUGAGCAGAGAGGAUCGGUUCUCUGUGUGCGCACUGCUGAGAAACACAAGCUCAUUUCUGCUGUUUCAUGAAAAGUGUUAUGGAGGAACAAGAAGUUCAGCCUCUAAACUCUCAGCGUGAGGACUGAGUGAAGAGUUUCAGAGCAGAGAGUUUUGGCUCACAGCUUUUAGCGUCUACACAAAGAGACGAUUACGCACUUGAUCUGAGAACAUCUCCACCUCCUACAAACAAACUCUCCUACGAGCAGCUGUCACAACCACAACAGGCAGAAGACUGGAUUUCUUCAGGCUACAACACAAACCUCCUGAUAGCUGCAAACAGCAAAACCCCCAACGACAGGCACACAAAGAGCGAGCAGGGACCCACCCUGACAGCAUGUGAGCCUCCUACUACGACUCACUGUGGAGCAACACAACACCAGGAGACGGAGGAUAUGAGAGAGGAUACAGCUGCUGUGGGGGAGCAGCCACACACUCCACAGGAGACGACGGGGGUGGGGUGCUCCAUCCUUACACACUUUGCACCACGUGGCUCUCCAUCUAUUCGUUUACCUUCUUGGGUCUCUUCCUCCUCUGUCCCAGCCCGUUGAGGCGAUCGCUGGGGUCCAGCCUGUAGUGGGAGUGGCUGUCCUCGCUCAUCCUGUCCCCGUCCACUCCGGGUUAUUCCUUUCUUCUUUCUGUCCUC
ensembl:lncRNA